rnacentral:rRNA from 1 species
GAUGAACGCUGGCGGCGUGCCUAAUACAUGCAAGUCGAGCGAACGGACGAGAAGCUUGCUUCUCUGAUGUUAGCGGCGGACGGGUGAGUAACACGUGGAUAACCUACCUAUAAGACUGGGAUAACUUCGGGAAACCGGAGCUAAUACCGGAUGAUAUUUUGAACCGCAUGGUUCAAAAGUGAAAGACGGUCUUGCUGUCUCUUAUAGAUGGAACCGCGCUGCAUUAGCUAGUUGGUAAGGUAACGGCUUACCAAGGCAACGAUGCAUAGCCGACCUGAGAGGGUGAUCGGCCACACUGGAACUGAGACACGGUCCAGACUCCUACGGGAGGCAGCAGUAGGGAAUCUGCCGCAAUGGGCGAAAGCCUGACGGAGCAACGCCGCGUGAGUGAUGAAGGUCUUCGGAUCGUAAAACUCUGUUAUUAGGGAAGAACAUAUGUGUAAGUAACUGUGCACAUCUUGACGGUACCUAAUCAGAAAGCCACGGCUAACUACGUG